UGGGAGUGUCAUAUAUCAAUCUGUUGAUUUCAUUGGUUAAGUUAUAAUAAACCAACUGCUUGGCCUCAGCUUGGAACAUAGAUGGGAGGAGUAAACAGAAUAGAAUUCUGGGCGGAAGAGGAAGUGAGGUCAGACUCUGCUCUGCUCCCAGAGAGACCCGACAGCUCUGCUGGAGCAGAGACGCCAUGCUCAGCUCUCCCAGGCAACUCCAACCCACGAUGGACUUAGGCUAGAAUCUUCCCGGACUUCUCAUGACAAUGAGACACUCUGCUCCUGGCAUCACCAAUCUACUUCAAGAGGAAGAUGGGCAUCGAAGAGGAUCCUUAUGGAGUUUGAUAGCCAUUUGGCAAGAAACUGCUCUUGCCUGGACUAUUGCAUAAACUGGACACAGAGAACCCGCAGAGAGAGGACUGCUGAACUUGCCUAAAGGUGAGAUGAUCUUUCGGGGUUCCUGCUUCAUGAAAGAGUCUGCAAGACAUUCUUCAGGACAAGCAGAUAGUGACUGCCUUUGAAAUUUCCUGCAUUGUGGAAAUGUCUGCUGGAAACUAUGGGCCUGUAGGCCGAAGAUGGAUGCCCCAACGGUACAGAGGAACUUUGGGUGACUGUCCAGGCAGCGAGAUGUCUCUGUCAUUUCUAGAGCUUUGGAUGUUAAGUUAAAGCCUUCUUUUUUUUUUUUUUUUUUUUAAACAGAAAAAGGGGAAGUGAUGUGGGAGUGUCAUAUAUCAAUCUGUUGAUUUCAUUGGUUAAGUUAUAAUAAACCAACUGCUUGGCCUCAGCUUGGAACAUAGAUGGGAGGAGUAAACAGAAUAGAAUUCUGGGCGGAAGAGGAAGUGAGGUCAGACUCUGCUCUGCUCCCAGAGAGACCCGACAGCUCUGCUGGAGCAGAGACGCCAUGCUCAGCUCUCCCAGGCAACUCCAACCCACGAUGGACUUAGGCUAGAAUCUUCCCGGUAAGCGCACCUUGGCGUGCUUACACAGAUGAUUAGAAAUGGGCUAAAUUAAUAUGUGAGAAUUAGCCUAGAAGAGGCUAGAUAGAAAUGGGCUAGUCCAGGUGCAAGAAUUAGUUAGAGUUCAUGGGCCAAGCAGUUCUUUAAAUGAA